GGUAGGGUCGCCUAGUCUGGCCGAGGGCGGCGGUCUCGAAAACCGCUAGGGAGGCAACUCCCUCGUGGGUUCAAAUCCCACCCCUACCGCAA
rnacentral:tRNA from 1 species